rnacentral:rRNA from 1 species
CCUACGGGAGGCUGCAGUGGGGAAUAUUGCACAAUGGGGGAAACCCUGAUGCAGCAACGCCGCGUGAGUGAAGAAGUAUUUCGGUAUGUAAAGCUCUAUCAGCAGGGAAGAAGAAAGAAGGUACCUGACUAAGAAGCCCCGGCUAACUACGUGCCAGCAGCAGCGGUAAUACGUAGGGGGCAAGCGUUAUCCGGAUGUACUGGGUGUAAGGGGAGCGUAGACGGCGGGGCAAGUCUGAAGUGAAAGCCCGUGGCUCAACCGCGGAACUGCUUUGGAAACUGGAUAGCUUGAGUACUGUAGAGGCAGGCGGAAUUCCAGGUGUAGCGGUGAAAUGCGUAGAGAUGAGGAGGAACACCAGUGGCGAAGGCGGCCUGCUGGACAGAAACUGACGUUGAGGCUCGAAAGCGUGGGGAGCAAACAGGAUUAGAUACCCCAGUAGUC